rnacentral:snoRNA from 1 species
GGCAUGAUGGCAUGCUUUGUGUCCUUCCACUGACUGGUGAUGUUGUUUUUUCUGCAGCUGAUU